rnacentral:rRNA from 1 species
CGACCGGCGGACGGGUGCGUAACGCGUAUGCAACCUGCCUGACACAGGGGGAUAAUCCGAAGAAAUUUGGUCUAAUACCCCAUAAUACCGAUAUAGGCAUCUAUGUUGGUUGAAAGCUUUGGUGGUGUCAGAUGGGCAUGCGUUGUAUUAGAUAGUAGGCGGGGUAACGGCCCACCUAGUCUUCGAUGGAUAGGGGUUCUGAGAGGAAGGUCCCCCACAUUGGAACUGAGACACGGUCCAAACUCCUACGGGAGGCAGCAUG